rnacentral:snRNA from 1 species
UGUGUAUAGAUCGUAGAUGAGAG